AUUGAACGCUGGCGGCAGGCCUAACACAUGCAAGUCGAACGAGUGGCGGACGGGUGAGUAAUGUCUGGGAAACUGCCUGAUGGAGGGGUAUAACUACUGGAAACGGUAGCUAAUACCGCAUACCAUCAGAUGUGCCCAGAUGGGAUGAGCGAGUUGGUGGGGUAACGGCUCACCAAGGCGACGAUCCCUAGCUGGGCUGAGAGGAUGACCAGCCACACUGGAACUGAGACACGGUCCAGACGCCUACGGGAGGCAGCAGUGGGGAAUAUUGGACAAUGGGCGAAAGCCUGAUGCAGCCAUGCCGCGUGUAUGAAGAAGGCCUUCGGGUUGUAAAGUACUUUCAGCGGGGAGGCGUUACCCGCAGAAGAAGCACCGGCUAACUCCGUGCCAGCAGCCGCGGUAAUUC
rnacentral:rRNA from 1 species